AAUCUGCCUAAAGCCCAUUUCCUCCAGCUCCCUCAGCAGCUUCUCUUCAUUGUGACCAUCUAUGUCAAAAGGCUCAGGUGCUGCGGCGCUGGCUGCAGGUGGAGGCACAGGCACAGAAGCAGGGGCAGAUGCAGGUGCGGAUGCAGGGGCAGGCAUAGAAACAGGCACAGUUGUAGGCAGGAUAGGCACAUUAACAGGUGAAGGUCCAACCGGGGCAAGCAGCUCAGGUGCAGGUGCAGGUGCAGGUGCAGGCACACUAACAGAAGGCACAAAAGCAGCAGCAGUGGCACUGGACAUGGGAACAUCAACGACAAGGUUUGCAGGAGCUGCUGCAGGCAUAGAGGUAGCAACUACUAGAGCAGGCUGAGAUUUCUUGGGCUCUGGAAC
rnacentral:lncRNA from 1 species